rnacentral:rRNA from 1 species
AACGAACGCUGGCGGCGUGCCUAAUACAUGCAAGUAGAACGCUGAAGGAGGAGCUUACUUCUCUGGAUGAGUUGCGAACGGGUGAGUAACGCGUAGGUAACCUGCCUGGUAGCGGGGGAUAACUAUUGGAAACGAUAGCUAAUACCGCAUAAGAGUAGAUGUUGCAUGACAUUUACUUAAAAGGUGCAAUUGCACCACUACCAGAUGGACCUGCGUUGUAUUAGCUAGUUGGUGGGGUAACGGCUUACCAAGGCGACGAUACAUAGCCGACCUGAGAGGGUGAUCGGCCACACUGGGACUGAGACACGGCCCAGACUCCUACGGGAGGCAGCAGUAGGGAAUCUUCGGCAAUGGACGGAAGUCUGACCGAGCAACGCCGCGUGAGUGAAGAAGGUUUUCGGAUCGUAAAGCUCUGUUGUAAGAGAAGAACGAGUGUGAGAGUGGAAAGUUCACACUGUGACGGUAUCUUACCAGAAAGGGACGGCUAACUACGUGCCAGCCGCCGCGGUAA